UACGUAGGGGGCGAGCGUUGUCCGGAGUUACUGGGCGUAAAGCGCACGCAGGCGGUUUCGUACGUCUGGGGUGACAGUUCCCGGCUCAACUGGGAAAGGUCUUCGGAAACGGCGAGACUUGAGGGCUUCAGAGGGACACGGAAUUCCGGGUGGAGUGGUGAAAUGCGUAGAGAUCCGGAGGAACACCAAUGGCGAAGGCAGUGUCCUGGGAAGCAUCUGACGCUCAGGUGCGAAAGCUAGGGGAGCGAACAGG
rnacentral:rRNA from 1 species